GACGAACGCUGGCGGCGUGCUUAACACAUGCAAGUCGAACGGAAAGGCCCUGCUUGCAGGGUACUCGAGUGGCGAACGGGUGAGUAACACGUGGGUGAUCUGCCCUGCACUUCGGGAUAAGUCUGGGAAACUGGGUCUAAUACCGGAUAGGAGCCAUUUUUAGUGUGAUGGUUGGAAAGUUUUUUCGGUGUAGGAUGAGCUCGCGGCCUAUCAGCUUGUUGGUGGGGUAGUGGCCUACCAAGGCGGCGACGGGUAGCCGGCCUGAGAGGGUGGACGGCCACAUUGGGACUGAGAUACGGCCCAGACUCCUACGGGAGGCAGCAGUGGGGAAUAUUGCUCAAUGGGCGCAAGCCUGAUGCAGCGACGCCGCGUGGGGGAUGACGGCCUUCGGGUUGUAAACUCCUUUCGCUAGGGACGAAGCUUUUUGUGACGGUACCUAGAUAAGAAGCACCGGCUAACUACGUG
rnacentral:rRNA from 1 species